AAAACACCCGACUUAAGAAAGGUGUAAAAAACCACGACCUGUACCUCUACAGGAUUUAACCCCAACUUCACUAAAACUCUUGAGCCUCAACAAUCAAAUAAUUACAAGGCUUCUUGUAACUUAGGAAUUAAAACUUCUAAUUCCUAUCACUACAAAAACACAAAUCUCACCCAAGAUAAGUGUUCCCAAAUCUUCGAGUUCCCCAACUUGAAGAAAAAUACUUCUAUCUCAGUUUAUAGAUCACUCAGUACAAGAACUAUGACACGUUACAAUUAAAAGAACCUACUUAUUACAACUGAUCCACGACUUAAGAAGUAUAGAUUAGGUUCUCCUUCAACUGGACGAACUUGUUUGCUUGAUUGUUGACCGUCUCUUUUUUGUGCACACCGUGCUUUGAUCUUUUCCCCUGUAUUUAUAGCAACCCAGAUUGAAACCUUCAGUUGAUCUCCUUUUCUUACUUGAAUUGGAUUGCCUUUUCCGUCUUUUAAUUUCUGCCGCCUUUCCUUGUUUCCUAGUUUGAAUUGGACUGCCUUGAUAUCCUUCCUAUCUUGACUUGGAUUGCCUUCACUCUUUUGGAUUUGAACUUGUUUCAUCCUGUCCGCCUUGUAGGAUGUUCAUGCUAAUCAGUCGACAGUAGUAGAUUCACUUGUGUGGAACAUGUUGCA
rnacentral:lncRNA from 1 species